rnacentral:lncRNA from 7 species
UCCAAAUUGUCAUUUCUGAGCUGUUUGUAGAGCACUGUAAUAUGUGUUUGAGCAGAUUUUUAAUAGGACUAGUACAGUCACAGCAAGAACUUCAUAGAUUGCAUGGGCUUUCCAUGGGAACAGAACCUUUCCUGAGCUUGGUGUAGUCUUGUGCCUCAGUUGGGUGUGUGUUUUCACCAAUGCUUCCAUAAUUUCUACCUCAUGUGAACCUUCAAAUACUGCAGGGCUGAGGAGUGAUACUGAGUUGCUAAUACUGAAGUGAAUGUCAGUUGCUAGUGCAACAUGCUGUUGAUUCAAGCUCUCUCUGGCUUCCCUUUGUGUUGGGAAUGAUCUUUAUUUCUAUAUGCUGUGGUUGCUGGAGGCCUUGGCAGGCAGUUCUGAGAUGACUCACCAGAGGAGCAGAAGAAACAGAGAAAGCAGAUGAGAGGUUGUUGUCCUCCAGGAGAUCUCCCAGAGGGAUCGGCGGCUCCAAGAAAUGCAGAGCUGCAGUGAUAUCAUGUAACCAGAAAGGGGCGGCCAGCAUCCUGCAGGCUGUAUCCAGGUCAUGAUCUUUAUUGGUGAUCUUCCAGGGCAGAGCCUCUGUUCAGACAAGUGCU